AACCUACAAUGGUCGUUACUGGCGACUGGGAAUCAAGGUUCAACUGCCAAAAAAUUCCUCUUACAUCUGAAGGAGAUAGCAGUCGUACAGAUUACGAACUUACAAAUUUCAAUUUGGGAAUAUAAUGAUGAAAAAUAACAAUAUGGGAUUAUUUUGAAACCUCACAGUUAGAAUGGGUGUACUCUAAAUCCUUUGGAUUCGAUGAUGCAUUUAGACUAUACCAGAAGCUGCAGUGAUUUUAGCUUCAAUAGCGUAUAUUAAACUUGUUUGCGGUUAGAAAGUUCGUAGUUAGAUCUUGUCCAGAUGGCACACCAGCAUUAUUAUUAGAUUCUGUUGAUGAUAUGCCUCAGUCUUUUGUGUGACUGGCAAACCUACUUCAAAAACAAUAGUGUUUAAUACCUUGUGGAUGACGGGGUGAUGGGUGAUGCUUUUUGAAUUAUGGACAAAUUUACUUUGAAAACAUUAGAGUGGUCAAAGCCU